CAUCUUGGACAAGCGUGGAAUGAGCAGACGAUGGAAGUGUUGUCAAGUCUGUGGGAGGGAACAGGAGUACCUGUACUUUAAGGACGAGGUUUUAAUAGAUGCUUAUUGUUUAUGUUGUGCUAUUUUAAGAUGAAA